CUGUGAGCUAGGUUGGUUAGCCACUAGCUAGCUCGCGAGGUAGCUGGUUAGCCACUAGCUACCUCGCGAGCUAGCUGGAUAGCCACUAACUUGCUCGCGAGCUAGCUAGCUCUCAUCGUGGCAUAGGAAAAUGAAGUGACGAUUCGUCGGCAUAUAAGAAGCUUUCAAUUCAUGUAUUUCCACAGCUCAAACACAACAACUUGAAAGUCAGCCAACCAGCGGCUCGAUCCCAGCGUGACUACGUCAAGAUUGGUGGUGCGCAGUUCCAUUUCCAGUUUUGAGUUGAGUGAGGACGCGUGCGCCAUGCGGCCCACCAGCUGAUGCGCCUUCAGAAUCUUUGAAGUCAGACAGCAACCAAACACGACAGGCCGCAAAGGUCAACGUAAGGUGUGACACGGCCCACUGAUGAAACAGUGAGGGACCCCCCCCCCCCAACCCACACGAAAUUAGGCCAUUAGUGGGCGGAAAGCAUUUGAUAAUGGUCAAAUGUUUCCACAGGAUGUAUUAAGUUCAGUUACAUAAGGUGAAUAUUUGGAUGCUUAUAAAAGCAGUUGAUUUUUUUUUUUUUAAGUACGACAGACAUAGCUGAAUAUUUUGUUCAUAAAAGGUAAUUAGAAAUAAGCAACUUCAGUAGGUCAAUUCAAAAGCUCAUAUUCCAGUAGUCAAGUGCAGUGCUGUAUUCACAUUUGUGUAACAUCUAUAUCACAAAUCAUUUUAAUUCUUUUGUAAUAGUAAACUCAUUAAAUUCUGCAUUUAAAUUAGCUGUGAGCUACGCCAAUGAAAAUCAUUUUGACAAACUAAAUCAUGAAAUAUUUCAUCGUGCAGUGAAUAUACAAGUCGUUUUCUUCAAC